GGUCUUCCACUGCGCCCUCUGCUGUUAGCGGCCGGAGCUGCAGCCGCGACAGCCAGCAUUUACACUUAUGUUAAACGGAGCGAAGAUACGACAGCGGAGCCCGAGGACACGACCGAAGGUCCUGACACAGAGGUUGUUAAAGACCAGAUGAUGAAACUGUUGGUGUCCAAGAUUCAGCUGCAGGACAGAGUGAAGGAGCUGGAGGAACUGCUCUGUGAGGCACACAGAGACUGUG